rnacentral:lncRNA from 1 species
GUGUGUGGGGUUCUGGACGAUCGACAGGGAGGAGCAAGGAGGGGUGAAACCCUAACUUCACAAAAUCCACAAGAAUUACUAAUAAUCUUAAGGAAAUUGAAAGAAUAAUCAUCAAAUUCUAAGCUCCUACACCUGUUCUUUAAAGUGGUAAGUUCAAUUUUGUGAUUUUCUAAAUUGUAUGAAGUGGGUCUUGACCUAAGCAUGAAUGCAUGGCAUAGGAUUCGUGAAAUUUGGUUAGGAUUAAGGAUUAGGAUAAGAAUUAUAGCAGAAAUUAUGUUUGAAUUGGGAUGGUUGUUGUGAUUUUAGCAAAAACCCGCUUGUUAAGAAGCUAGUAAUUGUAGGAUGAUGGAAUGAGAUCAUAUAACUAGAACUUUGAUUAUGAGCUUGAUGUGAUACAUGAAUGAUGAAUAAAAUUUAUGUAGGAUGGAGUAAUUAUGUAAAUCCGAAUGAAUAUGAAUGUUGUAUGAUGAUAAACUAAUAAGAAUGUGCCUUAUAGUCUUGUACCGAAUACCAUGAUUAUGAUGCUUACAAGGUGUUUGAUGAAAUGCCUAAGAGAACAAAUUUGUGAAAUUGUAUGAAAGUUGUGGGUAGGUAUGUAUAGAAAGUGUUUAUGGUGUAGUCGUUAACAAGAUAAUAUGUGAAGUGUGCUUUAGAUGGAGUCCAUACGAAAAUUCGGAUUUGAAUGAAUGAUUUGGUAAAAUCAUGCAUUAGGGACUUGUACCUUGUGUUUAAAUGGUGUGAUACUCACCAUGUAUUUAAUGCGCUUGAUUUAUAGUACUCAAAAGUGAAUGUGUACGAAUAGUUUAUUAAUAAGUAAUGAUGUCGGAGUUAUGUUGUGUACGUAUCUAUGAUAAUAAGUUUGAAGUAAAUGUUGAACAACGUGGUUGUCGGUUCAUGUUUUAUGCGUGAUAAAGUUUGACUAUUAAAAGUUUAUGUAGCUAAGGGUUGAAAAUGGAUGUGAUAUGAAUGAUCAUGCAUGCUAACUAUGAAAUGCGUAUAAUGAUUUGAAAGGAUAGGAAACCAAAAUUGACAUGGACUCAAGUAUGGAAGGCUAUCGGAUUAAGAGGAAAUGAGGAAGUUAUGCACAAACUUGGACGCACAAGGUAAGUGAUUUCCAUAAUCACUUCUUAGUUUGUUUAAGUAGUAUAAUGUUUAAUUAUUAAGUUCAUAUGAAGUUGAGGUCAAAUCAAUAUAUUAUUUUGAUGAAUGCAUGAACGGGUCGAAAAGUUAGUAGAUGAAUAAUAAGCCGAACAUGUACAAGUUAAGAAAUUCCUUAACUCGGAUGUUGGAUUUCAAGUUCACAUGAUAGAAUGUUAAUUUACAAUCAUGUAGGAAGAAACGUGACGCAAAACGGAUGAAAAAUGAGAGAGUUAUGUCCGUUUCGGUAAGAAUUAAUGGCUAGGAAAAAUGCAGAGCUGACACGACCGGGUGGUGAGCUGACACGGCCGGGUGAAGGUUCUGUGAAAAAUAUUAUUUAGGUGAUUUAUGCAUCGUAGGCUUCGGUAUAUUAUCCAUGGACUACGGUGGACCUCCCAAACAUGAUUUCGAGUGUUCCCUUGACGAUUAUAAGUUGUACACCCAAGUCUAAGCCUCAUGUAAUUUAUAUAAGAGUAUGAUAGAUGUAUGUAAUGAUGACUAGGGAGGUGUGUUAAUUAAGUUAAGAGAAUAGGAUGGUAUGUAGGUAUGAACAAUUAGAGUCAUGGUGAGUUUAAGUCGUAUAAACUAGUACGCGUGAUGUGUAUAGAAGAUAUAUAUACGUAUGUACAUAAUUAUGCGAAAGGCGUACAUUGUGUUGUAGUUAAAUAGAUGCAUAUAAAUGGUUGGUGACCUUUUUACGAAGAUGUAGUACUUGAAUAUGUUGAGAUUACGGGUUUACGAAUGUCGGACUUUCGAAGUGUUGAUAUAGUAAUGAAAUGAUUGAAUGUUGGAAGGAUAAUCGGGUUGAGGUAACUUAAGUGGUUAGAAUAUGCUAUGGACGUUUUAGUUUAUACAAUAUUAUAUGUUUGGUCGUCACCAUCUACUAACAGGUUAGUUGUAUGAGAGUAUAUGUCAUACCCAUUUUAUUGGGUAAUUGAAUGCGUAAGAGAAAUGAAAGUACGUACAUGAAUGGAACUGAAAUGACGGUUUUAUAAGCAAAUAAGUAUAACGAAUAACUUUUUAAAGCUUUGUUGUUGAAUGUAGGUGAAUCCUCAAUUUUGGCGACUUGGAGAAUCGGAGCGAGCGCGAGUUCAUAUUAUGCCAUACCAAACGCUUCCGCUAGCUUGUUCAAAUGUUUUUUUCCCAAAAUUUGUUGUAUUGGUUUUUAGUAGUAUCUUGUUGAACGAAUUGUAGAAUUGUAUUUAGUUUGUUUAUGUUUAAAACAGGGGUAUGCUCGCUUUAUGGACGGGUCAUGCCCAAAUUUUGUUAAAAUCAUGUGUUAAUGUUACUAGCGUUUUUACCUUU